UAAAAAAAGGUAAGCUACUAAGAGCGAAUGGUGGAUGCCUUGACUGGUAAAGGCGAUGAAGGACGUACUAGACUGCGAUAAGCUACGGGGAGCUGUCAAGAAGCUUUGAUCCGUAGAUUUCCGAAUGGGGCAACCCAAUGUAUAGAGAUAUACAUUACCUAUAUAGGAGCGAACGAGGGGAAUUGAAACAUCUUAGUACCCUCAGGAAAAGAAAUCAAUAGAGAUUGCGUCAGUAGCGGCGAGCGAAAGCGCAAGAGGGCAAACCCAGUGCUUGCACUGGGGGUUGUA
rnacentral:rRNA from 1 species